rnacentral:rRNA from 1 species
AUGGCAUGUCCUGGUAAUCUGUUGGAUAUAAUGGACGUCAAUAUAAGAUGCAAUCAAGAGCCUCAAGUGACUUUAGAAUUGUUCGCUGCUCCAGUUUCAAGACUUGGUCUAGCUUGCUGCAGGGGCUCUGCAAGACAGCGCAUAAAGAUGGGCGCUGUGGUGAAAGAAUUGGGUGCCAUAAAACGGAUAAUCAUGGCCAACCAGAAUUAUGUGUCUUGGUCCACAGUGCAGUAA